CAAAGUCAUGUCUUAAAAGAGGCCAGAGAUUUAAUAUUUACCCCCCUAUUCCCAGCUGCUGUUAGACUCCAUCCAGCUCUGAGGCCACCUCCUCCUAAAGCUUUCUUUAGCUUUCUAGUGUGACCUUGGACAUAUUAAAGUUUGUUUCAGCUGCAAAAUGGGACAAAAGAAACUUUUAUAGGAUUAUUGUGGGGAUGGACUAUAUUAUGUAAAAUCCUAAAAUUGUCCCUGGCACAGAAUAAACAAAAAAAUUGGCUAUGGUAAUCCUCCCCACCACCAGCUCCACUGAACUCAGGGGCACUUUACCACUGAGCUACGUCCCUACCCCUUUUUUUAUUUUGAGACAGGGUCUUACUAAGUUGCCAAGGUUGGCCUCGAACUUGUGGUUCUCCUGCUUUAGCCUUCUGAAUAGCUGGGAUCACAGCCUGUACCACUGCACACUGGCUGCUGUGGUAAUGGUAAUUUUUUUCCCCCAGUGUGUGUGAUGUGCCCAGCGUUCCAGUCCCAUUCGGUCUGGUCUCACCACUAGCCUAUGAAUUCUUUGAAGGCAGGGCCCAUCUCUAUUAUACUUCAGUAGUUUCUUUUCACCAUCAAGAUACUGCAGUCACAUCAGGACUUGCUAAGGAAGUCUAAAGAAAUGUAUUAAGAUUAUCCAAUGAAAUUGCUGCCAUAGAGGCUGAGGAUGUAGCUCAGUGGUAGAGCACUUGCCUAGCAUGGGCAAGGCCCUGGAUUCAAUUUCCAGCACUGCAAAAGAAAAAUAAAGAAAACAAGAAAUAAAUAGCUGCUAUAAAUAAAAGCACAACGUUUUCCUCUGUCCUACAGAGCUUAUAGACUAGAUGAGCUGAGAGGGACAUGGGUUUAUGGAGAAAUGGGGAGCAUUCGGUUGUUGUGGGGUGCCCAUGGGCUCACCAAAAAAGCAAAAUGCCCUCUCCUCCCACUGUGGGA
rnacentral:lncRNA from 1 species